rfam:Caedibacter sp. 37-49 SCNpilot_expt_500_p_scaffold_1187, whole genome shotgun sequence.
GGAGGUAGGCCCUCCGCAAUCAUCUUUCAGGAGCAGGUUGCAAACGGCUGUAAGCGGCUAUGGUCAAAAGCUAUGGUCGUGAGCGUUACAGAAAAGAUGGGAAAAAAAUCUAUCACG